rnacentral:rRNA from 1 species
UACGAAGGGUGCAAACGUUGCUCGGAAUUAUUGGGCGUAAAGCGCACGUAGGCGGCUUUGUAAGUCGGAUGUGAAAUCCCUCGGCUUAACCAAGGAAGUGCAUCCGAAACUACAGAGCUUGAGUACUUAAGAGGAUCGCGGAAUUCCCGGUGUAGAGGUGAAAUUCGUAGAUAUCGGGGAGGAACACCAGUGGCGAAGGCGGCGAUCUGGGAAGAUACUGACGCUGAGGUGCGAAAAGCGUGGGGGAGCAAACAGG